rnacentral:sRNA from 1 species
GUGAAUGAUCACAGUAACUCACCAUGUUUGGACCAGCAAAUUCUUAAUGUUAUUAUUAUCUAUUAUUAUUUUUUGAGACAGUUUCUGCUCUGUUGCCCAGGCUGCAGUGCAGUGGCACGAUCUCAGCUCACUGCAACCUCUGCCUCCAUCCACCUCAGACGAUUCUCCUGCCUCAGCCUUCUGAGUAGCUGGGAUUACAGGUACCUGGAAGAGGUGGGCUACACAGACACCAUCCUCGACAUGCGGUCCAAGCGCGUCCGUUCCCUGCUGGGCCGCUCGCUGGAGCUCAACGGGGCAGUGGAGCCGAGUGAAGGGGCCCCCAGGGCUCCACCAGGCCCUGCGGGGCUCAGUGGCGGGGAGUCGCUGCUGGUGAAACAGAUCGAGGAGCAGAUAAAGAGGAACGCGGCAGGCAAAGAUGGCAAAGAGCGCUUGGGCGGCUCAGUGCUGGGGCAGAUCCCCUUCCUGCAGAACUGCGAGGACGAAGACAGCGACGAGGACGAUGAGCUGGACAGCGUGCAGCACAAGAAGCAGCGUGUGAAGCUCCCAUCCAAGGCUCUGGUGCCUGAAAUGGAAGACGAGGAUGAGGAAGACGACUCUGAGGAUGCUAUCAAUGAGUUUGAUUUCCUGGGCU